rnacentral:rRNA from 1 species
UACGGGGGGGGCAAGCGUUGUUCGGAAUUACUGGGCGUAAAGGGCUCGUAGGCGGCCAACUAAGUCGGAUGUGAAAUCCCCAGGCUUAACCUGGGAACUGCAUCCGAUACUGGAUGGCUUGAAUCCGGGAGAGGGAUGCAGAAUUCCAGGUGUAGCGGUGAAAUGCGUAGAUAUCGGGAGGAACACCAGUGGCGAAGGCGGCUUUCUGGCCUGCUCUUGACGCUGAGGCGCGAAAGCUAGGGUAGCAAACGGG